GACUGCGUCACGGGCCCGCAGAGACUGUGCCCUGGCUUGUUCAUGUUGGUGUGCUGGCUCCUAGCCAGUGCCCGGCGCUUCAGGUGCCACUACCCGUCAGUAGGAGAGGGCUUGGCGUCUCCGUUCUGGCGCUGCCCUGACCUUGGCUCCGUAGAACUCACGGCCUGACACCCUGCAGUCUCAGGUCAGAAAACCAACCUCCGCGGAAACAGACUGCUGUUCUCGGUGGGCAGAAGAGCGAUAUGAUAUUUAAUGAGUGUAUGCUAAGUGCCAGCCUUGCGGCUGCUGAGGAUAUAAUGGGGAGAAAGACCCCCACUCUCAAGGACUUGAGCUGCAGAAGUUCUCCGUGUUGGCAGGGAACCCCUGGAGAAUUCCAUCUGGGACUUAGUCCCUCAUUUAUCUGCAACUUUGUAUUCCAAUGGGCUCUACAUUGACAGCCCAUCCUCAGACUCGGGACGUAAUCCUCUGAUAAACACUUUGCAGUCUUAACUUCACCUCAGCAUCUGCUUCCCAGAGAACCCAGCCAGCGUAAACUCUGACAAGACGCCAUGCCAUUUGAGGCCAGUGUGUCUGCACUGAGAUUUUUUUUCACUAAUAUAUUGGGGUGGAUGGUUUGAAUUCUCUCAAAGGUCUUUCUAUUCCUUCCGUUCUGUGAUGCCUGUGAAUCUAUAUGGAAUAGGAUUUGGUAUAAAUUCUGAGUGUUUAGCCUCUACGUAAGGGAGUUUUAUGGUGAAAGAGGGUUUUGAGGAAAAAGCUCACUGCUCCGGAGCCCCCCACUUUCCUACCAACAACAAUCUGUAAUGAUUCUACCUCUGUCAAAAUGUUCAUAGAAAGAUGAUUAUGAGUGUGGAUUGAUAUGUAUGAAAAUUAUACAGUAAGAAGUUAUGUGUAUGUGUAAAAUAAUACAUUUAACAUGUAAUACACAACAAUGCACAAAUAUUCAAAAAUAUCAUAAUAUAAGUGGUCUAAUAAUAUACAUACAUAAAAAAAUCAGUCAAGACAGGGAUUUCACAGCAGAAAGAAAAUGGGUAGAGCUGUCUCACUGAUAGAUGGGGGGAAGAGAGGACUAUACUCCAAUACCUGAGUCUUCUGUCAAACUACACGCAAUAGGAGUAAGAAAAAACCCAGGUGAGCCUCCAGAGAGAAGAGUUUCUUGGACAGUGCACACCUCAGAACUCUGGGGGAUGCAGCCCUCCCCACUGCUUACCAGCUGCUUGGACUUACCAUCCCCAAUUUUGUCUGCGAGCCAAGAAUCAGAACAGAAGACGUGGUCCCUCUCCUUUCUGUCCUGGUCUUUUGUUUUCAAACAAACUUUAAAGAAAGUCUGGUCUGUGCCUUUUUUGCCAGUGGUCUCAAAUCAAAGAUGUCUGCCACA